rnacentral:tRNA from 1 species
GGGCGGUUGGCGCAGCUGGUAGCGCGUUCGGCUUACAUCCGAAAGGUUCAGAGGUUCAAAUCCUCUACCGCCCA